ensembl:snoRNA
CCUGCUCCUUGAGGUGUUGCAGUCCGACUGCGUGUUGAGCCUGUGUCAUGAGGGGCGGAGAGUAACAGGGCUAUGUCUACGCCGAGGACUCAGAACAGUGGGUGCUUGGAGUGAUUGAUAGAAACGACAUU